UGAACGCUAGCGACAGGCCUAACACAUGCAAGGUCGAGGGGCAGCACAGAGGUAGCUUGCUACUUUGGGUGGCGACCGGCGCACGGGUGCGUAACAGGUGUGCAAUCUGUCCAUAAUCGGGGAAUAGCCCAGCGAAAGUUGGAUUAAUGCUCCAUGUGAGUAAGAGAGGCAUCUCUUUAUUUGAAACGCAAGGAUUAUGGGUGAGCACGCUUCUGAUUAGGUAGUUGGUGAGGUAACGGCUCACCAAGCCGACGAUCAGUAGGGGUUCUGAGAGGAAGGUCCCCCACAUUGGAACUGAGACACGGUCCAAACUCCUACGGGAGGCAGCAGUGAGGAAUAUUGGUCAAUGGACGCAAGUCUGAACCAGCCAUGCCGCGUGCAGGAUGACGGCUCUAUGAGUUGUAAACUGCUUUUGUAUGAGGGUAAAUGUAGGUACGUGUACCUAUUUGAAAGUAUCAUACGAAUAAGGAUCGGCUAACUCCGUG
rnacentral:rRNA from 1 species